CCUACGGGAGGCAGCAGUGAGGAAUAUUGGUCAAUGGGCGCAAGCCUGAACCAGCCAAGUCGCGUGAGGGAAGACGGCCCUACGGGUUGUAAACCUCUUUUGCCGGGGAGCAAGCCUGAGCACGUGUGCCCAGGCGGAGAGUACCCGGAGAAAACGCAUCGGCUAACUCCGUGCCAGCAGCCGCGGUAAUACGGAGGAUGCGAGCGUUAUCCGGAUUUAUUGGGGUUAAAGGGUGCGCAGGCGGGCUGUUAAGCCGGCGGUAAAAAUUCAGGGCUCAACCCUGUCGAGCCGUCGGAACUGGCAGCCUUGAGUGGGCGAGAAGUAUGCGGAAUGCGUGGUGUAGCGGUGAAAGGCAUAGAUAUCACGCAGAACGCCGAUUGCGAAGGCAGCAUACCGGCGCCCGACUGACGCUGAGGCACGAAAGCGUGGGGAUCGAACAGGAUUAGAUACCCGAGUAGUC
rnacentral:rRNA from 1 species